CCAAACAAAGCAGAACGAAACCACCCAAUUAAAAUCGUGCUAGAACCAACUCUUGCCUACCAAUCAGCCCCUGAGGCCAGCAACUUUCUCGUCACUCGUCAGACGCCACUCAUGCUCGCGUCACCUCACGCUCACGGUGUGAUCUUGCAUCCAACCCACGCCUAUGCGCGCCCCGCGCACCACCAUGCCCACGACUAGUCGCAGGAGCUACGCUGGCCAUGCAGGUCCGUGCUACCCGCCGCGCGCUCCGCCGAUCCGCCACUUCCAUGCGGGCUGCAGCCGGGAGCCGGACAAGUUCCUCUACGACGCGACGCGAGUGCGGCCGCCUGCCUGCCUGGGCCUGGCCGAUGACCGGAGGGCGUUUGAUGGAAUGCCGCACGGGGACGUGGUCGCGCGCCAGGACCCGCCGUGAUGUCCGGGAGCCGCCGCGCGGCUCUGAGCCUCUUGAAGCAGAUCAUCACAGGAAGGUGCCCAAUGCCUGUACGGUGGUGUUGGGCCUGGAGUUCACGAGGCAGGUGCAUCGUCGUGUACCCAUGUCAUGUGGUAAGCCUGCAGUAGGAGUUUUGGUGAUCCAUGCCUUGGUUCCUCCCUGGUCGAGGUCGAGGCUUACAGGUGCUGUGGGGACUUGGGAGUUGGGAGGUGGACAUUGCUGACAGAACCGUCUCGCCUGCCGCUGCGAACUGAUGCAGUGAUUGAUGCAUCGUGGGAUGCCCUGGUAAAUGGGGCUGGAAGUGGGAAGUGACGCUGAUGGGAAUUAGUUGCUUGAUUGAAACACAGCAUGGUCAUGGUCAUGCUGGAAAGGGACUGUUUUCACGUUCCAUGUGGAAUCCGGUGAUGAGAUAUAAGCAUGUACGAGUACUAACUUUACCUACUAUUCUGAACACUGAACUGUUGCAAGGAAUUCAAUUCAACCUGUUCAUGCUUUGGUGAUCAUAAAAUGUUAGAGAGGUGCUGGAGCCUGAAGCUGUUGUGGAUAGUUCUUUGAUGCGAUAGUUGGUGCCGUUCAAGACUUCAAGGCAUUUUGAGAUGUGGCGCUACUUGAGACAUGGAGAUAAGGUUCAAGCAUAUGUUCUGAAAAGUGGCCUGCAAGGAGAUACUGAUAUUUCAACUAUCGGUAUUUCCUUGACUAAAGAAAAAGUUGAGUUCUCAUGGACAGUGAUUAUGGCAAGGUGUGCUAAAUUGAUGAAUUUAUAAGGUAAUAGAAUGCUUCAGUUCAAUGCUUCAAGGAAAGAAAAUGGUCUAAUGAUAUUGCUUUGGUAAUCUCCUUGAGUGUUUGCUCUGAUUUGGCAUCCUUAGGUUGCAGGUUCCAGCUACAUGGGUGGGUGAUCAAAUCAGUUUGGAACAAUUUAAUGUUUCCAUUGCUUGCUCCAGUUGGCAUGCAUAUAAAGUGAGAGCAUAAUGUAUCUUCAGAUGCUAUUCAAUCAGUCAAAAUGUGAUGAAGUUGCAUGGAAUGUGAUCAGCUGUGGUUGUUCCAAUCUGGUCAUCCAUACAAGGAACUGAUUGCUUUCCAACAAAUGAUAGACAUUGGGAAGAAACCCAAUAGGAUCUCUUCUGCAGGGUUUCUGUUAGUUUGUAGUCGUGUGGGCUACUUGAUGAAUGAAGGAACUACUUUAUACAAUGUCUUAUGGGAUUUUACCCUUAUAGAAUGAACACUAUGGUUGCAUGGUUGACAUUCUGAUGAAGGCUGGAAAACUUGUUCAAGCUGAAUCUAUGGCCAGGUCAUAUUGUUGUCAA